rnacentral:rRNA from 1 species
GACGAACGCUGGCGGCGUGCCUAAUACAUGCAAGUCGAACGGAAAGACUCGAAGUUUGCGGAGCUGUCGAUAGCGGCGGGCGUGUGAGUAACGCGUGGAUACCGUACCUCUCAGAGGGAGAUGACUUCGAGACACCGGCGAUAAUACGGGAUAAUAUAUUUAACCACAUGGUUCAGUGGUGAGAGACGGUUUUUAUGAUGCGUCUACAUGGAUCCGCGUCGCAUUAGCUAGUUGGUCAGGUAACGGCGUACCAAGGCAACGAUGCGUAGCCGACCUGAGAGGGUGAUCGGCCACACUGGAACUGAGACACGGUCCAGACUCCUACGGGAGGCAGCAGUAGGGAAUCUUCCGCAAUGGGCGAAAGCCUGACGGAGCAACGCCGCGUGAGUGAUGAAGGUCUUCGGAUCGUAAAACUCUGUUAUUAGGGAAGAACAAAUGUGUAAGUAACUAUGCACGUCUUGACGGUACCUAAUCAGAAAGCCACGGCUAACUACGUG